UACAGAGGGUGCGAGCGUUGUCCGGAAUCACUGGGCGUAAAGGGCGCGUAGGUGGUGGCUUAAGCGUGCGGUGAAAGCUCGGGGCUCAACUCCGAGUCGGCCGUGCGAACUGGGCUCACUGGAGCAUAGUAGAGGCAGGUGGAAUUCCGGGUGUAGCGGUGGAAUGCGUAGAGAUCCGGAAGAACACCAGUGGCGAAGGCGGCUUCCUGGCCUGUUCGUUGACGCUGAGGCGCGAAAGCUA
rnacentral:rRNA from 1 species